AGCUGCUUUUUCAUCCACAGAGAGUAAAGUUCCAAACUUAGAGAAGAACUAAAGUAUCGAUCAUAAACCACUACCAACGUUUGGAUCGAUAUCUGCAUCGAUCUGCCCACCCUUGUCUCCUGGAUCGUAGCUGAGAUCAGCGUGAACCACGUGGGUCUCUGCUCCCUGAUCUGUUUCCUGUGUUUGGAAAGAGUUCCAGCUUCAUCACGGAGUUUCUCUCGGUUUGUGGGAUCAUCUAAAGCUGAUCAGCAGGAGGAGAAGAGUCUGACGGAGCAGCAGAGGAACAUUUUCAGCCAUCUGGACUCAGCUGAGUCACUACAGAGGAAACAAUGAGCUCAACACAGAAGGACCAACAUGGAGCGAGAAGUCAGCGCUCUCAGGAGGUGGACAAACCUCACAGAAGAAAGGGAGAGAAAAAUUACAGCUGUAACGACUGUGGGAAGGAUUUUACUGAGAAGGAUUCACUAAAACGUCAUCAGAUCACUUUGUGUGGAAAGUCUUUUUCCUGGAGGGGUUCCCUAAAAGCACACCAACUCAUCCCUAGUGGAGUUAAGCCGUACAGCUGUGAUCAGUGUGGCAGAGCUUUUACUCACAGUAGAAACUUGCAGAGGCAUCUAGUUACCCACUCUGGAAUUAAAGCGCACAGCUGUGACAUUUGUGGAAAAACUUUCAGUUGUAUAGGGAACCGAAAUAUACACCUAUGCAUUCACACCAGACAUGAUGUGUACAGCUGUGAUCAGUGUGGUAAACUAUGUUUAACAGGCACACAAUUACA